AGCAUAAUAGUGUAACAUGGUUAACAUAAUAGCCUCAUAAGCUAUUGAUUUACGUUCAAAUCGUAAUUAUGUAC